ACACACACACACACAGUGCCCCAAUACAAACAUAUAUCUACUACCUCUAGACAGAUGCCUUGCUUCCAACACACACACACACACACACACACACACACACACACACACACACACGGGGUGAUAUAAAUACUGCCCCUCACUUGUAGCCCCUCACACACACAGACUAACACACACACCGAGUCAUGACAGAUCAGGCAAGCAGCAGUGGGAGACUGAGGAAGGACAGAGUGGCAGAGCGACAGAUGGUAACAGAGGAGAAGGAAGAUAAGGGGAGUAAGGAGGAAGACAUGAAUGGGGCGGUGAAUGGAGACACGGCCGUAUUGAGCAAUGGAGCUGCAGAGAAUGAAAAACCUGAGGUGAUGGAGCUGCCACCAUUCCAGAUCAUCACCGGGGACCAAAUCGACCCCUUCUUCUUUAAGUUCCAGUAUAAGAACGUGGAAUACUCGUCCGGUCGGAAUAAGACCUUCCUGUGCUACCUUGUGAACGAGGUGCGUGGUGCGGGUGAUGAAGCUAUACUGCGUGGCUUUGUGGAGGACGAACACGCUAGUGGCGAUCACGCAGAGGAUGCCUUUUUCCGCCUCGUGCUGCCUCACUACAACGCCUCUGCCCGCUAUAACGUCACCUGGUACGUCUCCUCCAGCCCGUGUCCCUCUUGCGCUGCCAAGCUAGUCGAGAUCCUGCGAGAGCGCAAAACGCUACGCCUCACCAUCUUCUCGGCCCGGCUGUUUGAGUGGGAGGAGCCAGAGGUGAGGGCGGGGCUGAAGUCUCUCGCAGGUGUGGGAUGUAAACUACGCAUGAUGAAGCCACUGGACUUCUCAUACACAUGGGACACGUUUGUAGAAAACGACGGUGGGCGAUUCGAACCCUGGGAGGACUGUCAGGAAAACUACGAGUUCUACCAGGACAAACUGGCGACAUCCUGCAGUGACCGAUCCAAAUAGAAGGUCCAAGAUUGGAGUUGCAGAUGCCUUUUCACUGUGUGUGUGUGUGUGUGUGUGUGUGUGUGUGUGUGUGUGUGUGUGUGUGUGUGUGUGUGUGUGUGUGUGUGUGUGUGUGUGUGUGUGUGUGUGUGUGUUUUAGUGGUCUUCAUGCUCCUACACACUGAAUUCCUGAGUGCUUAAAAUCAUCUCAGCUAGCAACCAGGAAACAAUCAGAAAUAAUUCAAAAGACAUCCACAGUUAAUUUGAGUCACAUACACACGCACACACACACACACACACACACGCACACGCACGUCACUCUUUUCUGAUUUGAUAAAUGCACUGAACUUUAAAUGAAUGAACACAGGAGUGGUGUUAAUGGAAUGUUGUGGUCAUUAAACGCCAUGUGUGAUGUUUAAACAGUUCGAUCUUCUGCCCGGAACAGAUUCCAAUCAUUCAGGGCUCAGUCUCAUAACUACAGCAAAUAUAACAAUAUAUCAUUGUUAUUAUUACUAUACUAUAAGUAACAUAUACAAUCGUGUUAUUAGUAAAUGAGUGUCUGCUAACAUUGUAGAGUAGAUCAUCAUCAUCACCAUCAUCAUCAUCACCAUCAUCAUCACCAUCACCAUCAUUAUC